GCCUGCCUGCCUGCCUGCCUACCACCUUGCCUGCCUGCUUGCCUCUCUCCAACCAUCAUUGAACACAGUGCCCCCGGAAGGCUUUACAUAACGCCCAAUUAGGGCUGGGGAGAGAGAACGCCCUCGCAGCCGCCGGGGUAAGAAAGUCAUCAAGUCAGGAAGUCUUAGCGGUCUGUGAAGCCUCUGGCAAUCCUCCCCUGGUCUACGGCUUACGCUCUUAAAACCAUCCUGUUAUCUCUUUCUGAUGUCUUCCACAGACGGCCUGAUCGCUGGUGAUUCCCUGAGUCCUCCUGUUUUUCGUUUUUUCUGUAGGGUGUUCCAUACUGUUGACAUUGGAAUAUACAAACAUUCUGCAACAGCUCUAAUUGAUUAUUUCUUUCCUUUCACCCUCACAGUAGCUUUCUUGGUUCUCUUACUCAGUUCUCUGGCCCUCAUCUGCAGUUUUCAGUGUUCUUGUUUUUCUCAUAAAGUAGACUUAACAGACACUUCCAAAGGAUAUAGCUCACCCAAGCUGUGAACUAUCCAUUUAUAAAUACAGUAAUAUGGCAAACCUGCAAAAUUUGAUACUACUGAUGGUCACUUGUGCCAAUACUUAUGCUGACUUUAAAUAGGGGAACUUGACUAGUUGAAUGCCAUUGUUGUAAUACAGUUCAAUG